UCUCUCUGAAAGACGCAGAGUUUUAACCAAGCAAUGGUUCUGGGAUGAGUUCGUCGAUCGGUCCGUACAGCCUGUCCGUGCCGAUCUGAAAGACGCAGAAUCUGUGCACAAUUUCUUUUGGUUUACAUGUUCCAUUUUCUACUGUCAUAACACUUGUGCGGUUGAGUUUGAUGAGCACUCUGUUGGCAUGCAUCAAUUUUUCUUUGUUUGUACCCUUUAUUGGAUAAUAAUCAAAUUGGAUCUUUUUGGUAUGUAGCUUAUUAAGUGUUAAUAUUUUCUAUCAAAAUUGUCGGGACAUUUUUUUUUCUUUGGGAACCUACCUAUGUGCAGAAAUACACUUAUCAACCCUUUGUUUGACUUGGAUGCUAAGUUCCUUCGCCCCUGUUUUUUAGGUUACAAAAAUCUGUUAGUCGCCUAAUCCAUUUCAAACUGUCGUGUUUUCACUGUUUAGCACAUCGAGUGAUAUUCAAACUAUUUUAUAUAAGAAAACUUCUUUGAACAUAAUACAAUAGCCAGUGAAGGACCCUUUCAUAUCAAAUUGUGCCCAAAUUGAAUUUGAGAAUGCUAUUACUUGGAAUCUGGGGAUUUUUCAUGGUGAAAGGACUGGUGCUUUUUUUGAGAAAGAAGUGUUCACUCAGAGUAAGCAUAUGUAGGGUAGGCCUGCAAUAUCUAACACAAGGUAAUACAAAUGCUGCAUUAGAAGAUAAUUCCAAAUUGUGGUAAAUGGGUGAUUGGGGAUUUUUUUUUUUUUUUUUUGUUUUUUUGGUCUGAAGGGUGAUUGGGGAUUUAAGAAACUAUUGAUUUGUUUUUAGUUUUUAGUUUUUAGUUUUUAUGUUUAAAGGUAUGUGAAAGAAUUGAAGGGAACCUGAAAACAUCCUGAGAUCUGUGUCACAGCAAAAGGAUUGCCCAUAACUAUAGCCCACUGGGCAACAGUCAGGAAGACAAAACUGAAGGCUGGACUUGUGAACCAGAAGUCCCAGUAGCCAGUGAAGGCAAACUGCCAGUAGCUCAACACAACGACAGCAUAUGCUGCAGAUAAUGUAAAAGUGAUUUGAGCCAUAGGAUGUGAUUCUAAUUACGUGUCAUAUUCUUAUCAAAAGCUUAGGCAAGGUUAGGCAAAAAUAGUGAUUGGGAGAGGAUUCGAGUAUUUGAAGGGGUUGUAGACAAGAGUAUGGUCAAAUUAUUGAAUAAUAAAUUUGGAAA